rnacentral:rRNA from 1 species
UGGGGAAUAUUGCGCAAUGGGGGAAACCCUGACGCAGCAACGCCGCGUGAAGGAUGAAGGUUUUCGGAUCGUAAACUUCUUUGAUGAGGGACGAACAAAAUGACGGUACCUCAAAAACAAGCCACGGCUAACUACGUGCCAGCAGCCGCGGUAAUACGUAGGUGGCGAGCGUUGUCCGGAAUUACUGGGUGUAAAGGGCGUGUAGGCGGGGAUGUAAGUCAGAUGUGAAAUUCCAUGGCUCAACUGUGGGGCUGCAUCUGAAACUAUGUCUCUUGAGUGCCGGAGAGGGAAGCGGAAUUCCUAGUGUAGCGGUGAAAUGCGUAGAUAUUAGGAGGAACACCAGUGGCGAAGGCGGCUUUCUGGACGGUAACUGACGCUGAGGCGCGAAAGCGUGGGGAGCAAACA